GUAUAGCAGCCAAGAUGAGAAUGGCUUUGUAUGGGGUUACAAUUUGAGUGAUGGCAGUAAGGUAGUUCAAAAUGGUGUUAUCAGAGAGCAGACAGACGGUACAAAAAUACUUGUAUUUGAUGGAUCCUACAGCUUUAUCGGUUCCGAUGGUGUCGAAUAUAUCGUUGAGUACUAUGCUGACGAAACUGGUUAUCAUCCCACGGUCAUAGUAAACAAGAAAGAGACAACUACAAAAAAGACUUUUGGAAU